GCAAGUCGAACGCGAACGGUUCUUCGGAACUAAGUAGAGUGGCGGACGGGUGCGUAACGCGUGGGAAUCUACCUAGUAGUUGGGGACAACCUGGUGAAAACCAGGCUAAUACCGAAUACGCCCUACGGGGGAAAGAUGGCCUCUUCUUGAAAGCUAUCACUAUUAGAUGAGCCCGCGUCGGAUUAGCUUGUUGGUGAGGUAAUGGCUCACCAAGGCGACGAUCCGUAGCUGGUCUGAGAGGAUGAGC
rnacentral:rRNA from 1 species